AUUGAACGCUGGCGGCAUGCCUUACACAUGCAAGUCGAACGGAUUCAAGAGGCUUGCUUCUUGAGUUAGUGGCGAACGGGUGAGUAAAGCAUCGGCACGUACCCAGUUGUGGGGGAUAACGUAGCGAAAGUUACGCUAAUACCGCAUACGCACUGAGGUGGAAAGCGGGGGACCGAAAGGCCUCGAGCAAUUGGAGCGGCAGAUGGCGGAUUAGCUAGUUGGUGAGGUGAAGGCUCACCAAGGCGACGAUCCGUAGCUGGUCUGAGAGGACGACCAGCCACACUGGAACUGAGACACGGUCCAGACUCCUACGGGAGGCAGCAGUGGGGAAUUUUGGACAAUGGGCGAAAGCCUGAUCCAGCCAUGCCGCGUGAGUGAAGAAGGCCUUCGGGUUGUAAAGCUCUUUCAGACGGAAAGAAAUCUUUCGGGUGAAUAUCCCGGAAGGAUGACGGUACCGUAAGAAGAAGCACCGGCUAACUACGUGCCAGCCGCCGCAGUAA
rnacentral:rRNA from 1 species